GUUAGAUCAUCUCCAUUGGAAGU
rnacentral:snRNA from 1 species